GAUGAACGCUGGCGGCGUGCCUAAUACAUGCAAGUCGAGCGAACGGACGAGAAGCUUGCUUUUCUGAUGUUAGCGGCGGACGGGUGAGUAACACGUGGAUAACCUACCUAUAAGACUGGGAUAACUUCGGGAAACCGGAGCUAAUACCGGAUAAUAUUUUGAACCGCAUGGUUCAAAAGUGAAAGACGGUCUUGCUGUCACUUAUAGAUGGAUCCGCGCUGCAUUAGCUAGUUGGUAAGGUAACGGCUUACCAAGGCAACGAUGCAUAGCCGACCUGAGAGGGUGAUCGGCCACACUGGAACUGAGACACGGUCCAGACUCCAACGGGAGGCAGCAGUAGGGAAUCUUCCGCAAUGGGCGAAAGCCUGACGGAGCAACGCCGCGUGAGUGAUGAAGGUCUUCGGAUCGUAAAACUCUGUUAUUAGGGAAGAACAUAUGUGUAAGUAACUGUGCACAUCUUGACGGUACCUAAUCAGAAAGCCACGGCUAACUACGUG
rnacentral:rRNA from 1 species